rnacentral:rRNA from 1 species
CCUGGGAACUGCGUUNUGAACUGGGUGACUAGAGUGUGUCAGAGGGAGGUAGAAUUCCACGUGUAGCAGUGAAAUGCGUAGAGAUGUGGAGGAAUACCGAUGGCGAAGGCAGCCUCCUGGGAUAACACUGACGUUCAUGCCCGAAAGCGUGGGUAGCGAACAGGAUUAGAUACCCUGGUAGUCCACGCCCUAAACGAUGUCGAUUAGCUGUUGGGCAGCAUGACUGCUUAGUAGCGAAGCUAACGCGUGAAAUCGACCGCCUGGGGAGUACGGUCGCAAGAUUAAAACUCAAAGGAAUUGACGGGGACCCGCACAAGCGGUGGAUGAUGUGGAUUAAUUCGAUGCAACGCGAAGAACCUUACCUGGUCUUGACAUGUACGGAACCCUCCAGAGACGGAGGGGUGCCUUCGGGAGCCGUAACACAGGUGCUGCAUGGCUGUCGUCAGCUCGUGUCGUGAGAUGUUGGGUUAAGUCCCGCAACGAGCGCUACCCUUGUCAUUAGUUGCCAUCAUUAAGUUGGGCACUCUAAUGAGACUGCCGGUGACAAGCCGGAGGAAGGUGGGGAUGACGUCAAGUCCUCAUGGCCCUUAUGACCAGGGCUUCACACGUCAUACAAUGGUCGGUACAGAGGGUAGCCAAGCCGCGAGGUGGAGCCAAUCUCACAAAACCGAUCGUAGUCCGGAUUGCACUCUGCAACUCGAGUGCAUGAAGUCGGAAUCGCUAGUAAUCGCAGGUCAGCAUACUGCGGUGAAUACGUUCCCGGGUCUUGUACACACCGCCCGUCACACCAUGGGAGUGGGGGAUACCAGAAGUAGGUAGGGUAACCGCAAGGAGCCCGCUU